AGUGAACGCUGGCGGUAGGCCUAACACAUGCAAGUCGAACGGAAGCACAGUAAGAGCUUGCUCUUACGGGUGGCGAGUGGCGGACGGGUGAGGAAUACAUCGGAAUCUACUUUUUCGUGGGGGAUAACGUAGGGAAACUGACGCUAAUACCGCAUACGACCUACGGGUGAAAGCAGGGGAGCUUCGGACCUUGCGCGACUGAAUGAGCCGAUGCCGGAUUAGCUAGUUGGCGGGGUAAAGGCCCACCAAGGCGACGAUCCGUAGCUGGUCUGAGAGGAUGAUCAGCCACACUGGAACUGAGACACGGUCCAGACUCCUACGGGAGGCAGCAGUGGGGAAUCUUGGGCAAUGGGCGCAAGCCUGAUCCAGCCAUACCGCGUGGGUGAAGAAGGCCUUCGGGUUGUAAAGCCCUUUUGUUGGGAAAGAAAAGCAGCAGGUUAAUCCCCCGCUGUUCUGACGGUACCCAAAGAAUAAGCACCGGCUAACUUCGUG
rnacentral:rRNA from 1 species